AUUGAACGCUGGCGGCAUGCUUUACACAUGCAAGUCGAACGGUAGGGUAGCAAUACCUGAGAGUGGCGAACGGGUGAGUAAUGAAUCGGAACAUGCCUAUUAGUGGAGGAUAGCCCGCCCAAAGCCGGACUAAUACCUCACACGACUUAUGGAUGAAAGCUGGGGACGGCAAGCCCUGGCGCUAAUAGAUUGGCCGAUGUCAGAGUAGCUAGUUGGAGGGGUAAAGGCUCACCAAGGCGACGAUCUGUAGCUGGUUUGAGAGAACGACCAGCCACACUGGGAGUGAGACACGGCCCAGACUCCUACGGGAGGCAGCAGUGGGGAAUUUUGGACAAUGGGCGAAAGCCUGAUCCAGCAAUGCCGCGUGCAGGAUGAAGGCCUUCGGGUUGUAAACUGCUUUUGUACGGAGCGAAAAGGCUUCCAUUAAUACUGGGGGCUCAUGACGGUACCGUAAGAAUAAGCACCGGCUAACUACGUGCCAGCCGCCGCAGUAAGAC
rnacentral:rRNA from 1 species